rnacentral:piRNA from 1 species
UGGUGAACCGGGUGCAGGACCACAUC